GACCGAGGGGCCAAGCGUUAGGCGGAAUCACUGGGCUUAAAGCGUGUGUAGGCGGAUGCCUAAGUAUCUUGUGAAAUCCCACGGCUCAACCGUGGAACUGCUUGAUAUACUGGGUGUCUUGAGCCAUCUAGGGGCUACCGGAACAAAUGGUGGAGCGGUGAAAUGCGUAGAUAUCAGGAGGAACACCUGUGGUGUAGACAGCUUACUGGACCACGACUGACGCUGAGACACGAAAGCGUGGGUAGCAAACAGG
rnacentral:rRNA from 1 species